CUAAUGCUUUCAGAUGGCUGUGUUUGAGUAUCGUUGGCAUUAAGUCUUAAUAUCUUCACCAUACAGCGACCCAUUUUCUCACUGGAAACUUUUCUGAUAACGUUAACAUUAUAACGUUUACGUCAUAAGCAUUUUUAGUGAUAAGACUUGUUAAGACAUUUGCAGCACGGAUUUUGUUUCUAACUACCCGGAGAGAUGCCACUUCUGGAGGAGCAGCGAAUACAUCAUACAUCGUUCGUCUUAACCUUGUCUAAAAGGAAAACGGUUGGAACAACUCUGAUGUAUGUAGAGAAGAGUCAGUGGCUGGUGAAGUAAGAGGGAUACAGCUGUCUGCUGAUUCAAGGUCCCUGCCCCGUCGCCUCAACAUCCUCAAGAUCCUGUAGGCUACUGCUGCUGCUCCUUGCUUCAGCACCUUUCCCCUGAUGCCUGACACCCCUCAUCACCAAAUCAGCCCAGUCAACAUGGACCCAACAUGGACCCAAGUCUCCACCACAGUGUGCACAAUACACUAUACACAGACAGGGACGAGAACAAAGGUACAAUUGGUCUGAGGGGAGGACACCGCAGACAGCUGAUCAACUCCAUGUCAUCUAAUCAGGCCAUGUAAAGGACCAUGAAGGGAUGGACUUGGUGGAGGACAACAAUGUGACACCUGAAAAGAGCACAUGGAGAUCUCUCAUCCUCAUCCCUCAUGCUUAUAUUGCAUUUCAUAUAGGCCUAGAUUCUGAUGGUCUUGUAAAUGUUUGUUACACAAGUCAGAAAUUGUUGUCUUUGAUUAUUUAAUAUGAUUAUAAUAAAUGGAAAUGUAUUUUAUUGAAAAAUAUUUUUGAAAACCUAGCAAGUUUGUGUGUUUUAGUAUCAGAAUGAGCUUGUAUUGGCCAAGUAUAUCUACAAGGAAUUUGACUG